GAGCUCAGUUGUGUUGAGCAUGGGGCUGAUAAUGCCGAGGUUGCAGGUUUGAUUCCUGUAAGGGACA